rnacentral:rRNA from 1 species
AUACGUAGGGGGCGAGCGUUGUCCGGAAUGAUUGGGCGUAAAGGGCGCGUAGGCGGCGCGGUAAGUCUGGAGUGAAAGUCCUGCUUUCAAGGUGGGAAUUGCUUUGGAUACUGCCGCGCUUGAGUGCAGGAGAGGUUAUCGGAAUUCCCGGUGUAGCGGUGAAAUGCGUAGAGAUCGGGAGGAACACCAGUGGCGAAGGCGGGUAACUGGACUGCAACUGACGCUGAGGCGCGAAAGUGUGGGGAGCAAACAGGAUUAGAUACCCUGGUAGUCCACACUGUAAACGAUGAAUGCUAGGUGUAAGAGGUAUCGACCCCUUUUGUGCCGGAGUCAACACAAUAAGCAUUCCGCCUGGGGAGUACGGCCGCAAGGUUGAAACUCAAAUGAAUUGACGGGG